UACGGAGGGUGCAAGCGUUGCUCGGAAUUACUGGGCGUAAAGGGCGUGUAGGCGGUUUCGUAUGUCUGGCGUGAAAGCCCCGGGCUCACCUCGGGAAGUGCGUCGGAAACUGCGAGACUAGAGUCCCGGAGAGGGAGGUGGAAUUCCAGGUGUAGCGGUGAAAUGCGCAGAUAUCAGGAGGAACACCGGUGGCGAAGGCGGGUCUCUGGGCCGAUAUCGACGCUGAGGAGCGAAAGCGUGGGGAGCGAACAGG
rnacentral:rRNA from 1 species